rnacentral:pre_miRNA from 1 species
UCUUGGAGUAGGUCAUUGGGUGGAUCCUCUAUUUCCUGAUGUGGGCCACUGGAUGGCUCCUCCAUGUCU